GGGCUUUCACAAUGAGCAAUAAAGCUUCUUGCCUUGUUUCCCACCACAGCAUGCGUGUGUGCUUCAGCAGUGAUGGGCAGCAGCUGCAGGGUAAAUUCCCACAGUGAAGCACUGCAGUCAGCUCCAUGGGGAGGACAUUGGGAGGUUCUGGAGCUUCCCAGCAAACAGGACCAGGAAAAAUAUUGGACUUGUACAGUUGACCUAGACAAUAUUUAGGAUUGAGCUCAAGAUUUCUGUGUGUAUCCCCAAAGCUCAGAUGGUUUAAGGACACAAAGAAAUGUCUCUGGACAAUGAGAGCUGCUCAUUUUUCCCAGCAUGGACUAGAAUGAAGUUUUUAGGUCACCAAACUGAAUCUCUGCAGUUCUGUUGAAAGAGAAAAAAUAGUCUCUGAGUUCUGUGGGUAGGAAGGGAAGAAGGAAGAUGGAAUAACUCUGCCUGGUGACACACUGAUUUUGAGACUGAGUGACUGGUGUAGAAUAUCAUGAGGAUGGAUUCAGGACAAGUAAAGGAUGGUCUACAUAAAUGCUGGAAAUGUACAGCAAAUGUGGCUGUGCACUGCAAACUGAGGCUCAUUUUUCAUCCAGUCUGUCAUGUGCAAGUGAAAUUGUACACCUUCAAAAAGGAAAGGACUCAGCAGAAAGAGAAUGUUGGUGGAGCUUGUACCUGUGUGCUUGGGGAGCAGGAAACAAGUGAGUCUUCAAGAGUGAUGAAACAAAAAACAAUUGAGUGUUCCUGGUGCCUGGCCACGAGGGGAAAUGUGCAUUUACAAAGGAGGAGGCUAGACUGAAGGCAGAAUUGAACCCCACAUAUGGAAAAUUCUCUGCUAUCCUGCCUUCAUAAAUAGGAAGCUCAGCUACAUAUUCUUCCUUUGGUUCCCACGGUGAACACAUCAAUGAUUGUAUCAAACAGAUCAACAGUUUUGAGCUGAUGGAUGUUCAAAACUUCAGCUGUUCAAAGCCUACCCAAACUUGCCAGCUCCUUCAGUUUCUUCACACAGACUGACCAACCUUAUUGUUUCAAGUACAGACAAGAGGAGCUCUUUAGGACAUUGUCAGGAUGGUCCUGCCUUGCUCUUCCAGAAUAAGUCACAGGCUGGGAAUGCUUCCAGCAAUAGAGGGAAAGUGGAGCUAUUCAUAGCCCAGCACAUCUCCAUUUCAGAAGGACUGGAAGAUGAAACAAUUCCUGGUUUCCUUUCCUUUUCAGUGCUCUUCAAAGAGCUUGGGAGACUGUGAUUUCCUGAACUUUUAAAUUUGCGACAAAGAAAUCUUGUCUGCAGCGUGUUUAAAGGACUUCGGUGAAAAUGUUCUUGUGUCUCUGGUUUGCACUUUCAGGCCAUGGCUGAGGGAGUGCUGAGGUGUGCAGUGAGCAGGGGCCCAGCCCAGAGUGGGAGGGUUGGCUGGAGCCUGGUUUGGGUGUCAGUGCAAGCAGUGUCACCCUGGGAGUCCAAAACACUUCUUGAAAGAUGAGUCAUGAAAGGAGAAGGUUCUGGAAGAUUUGGGUGACUGAAAUAUGUAACCACACCCCUCCGUCCUUCCUGCUGCUGGGGAUGCUCAGUUUGCAAGGACCUUGCUGUCCUGGGUGCCCUGUGCAGGGCUCAGGACACCCUGCACGAUCAAUUAUCUGCAGAGGGAGGCUGGGCAGGGAUCACAGGAUCACAGAACUGCUAAGGCUGGGAAAGACCUCGGAGGUGAUUGAGCCCAAGCAUUAACCCAGCCCCACUGUGCUCACCACGAAACCCUAUCCCCAAGUGCCACAUCCACAUGCUUUCAGAACACUUCCAGGAACAGUGAUUCCACCACUUCCCUGCUACACCCUGAGUGGGUUUGGCUUUCUUAGGUUUUUUUUUCCCCCUUCACUUGUAUUGUUUCCCUGAAAGUGGAAAUAUCUGCAUUUUCUAAUUUUGAAAAUUUUAGAGGAAAUUGUGCAGAUGGCUCCUCAAACUUGACAAAAGACCUACAGGGUAAUGCAGUGAAGCUUAGUCUUAACAAAAUUACCAGAAAUUGUGCUAAGAGCAUCACAACUUCAACUAAUGUAAAAUCAGUGAAGGUUUUUUGAAAAGUAGUGCAUCCAUUUGAUGCUUGUCUGGAAAACUAAGCAUACUGAAUGCAUAAUAAAUAAAAACAACUUUUGGCAUUGUCUCACCUUUUUCCUUGACGUGACUUUAUUAUAACUAAGAAAAAUCUUUGUAUUCCAAAGAGAAGGCUGUUUUUAAAAACACAUGUGAAUAAAAUAAAUAUUAGUAUGGUGCAAAUACUCAUUGAAUGAUUUUUUAAUAUUAUUUUUGUAUGGCUUUGGUAUAAGUUACUGUUUAAUAGAACUCUGAAGCUCAGGUAGUAAUUUAAUGUUAUGUUCAGUGUUAGCCCCUUUACUGGUAAAAGUGCAGGAGAGGUCCAGGCAUCCUUUAUGUCUUCAAAGUUCAUGAUUUGUGUGCAGUCAUAAAGAGUGGAUAGCUCAUAAUUUAAUUAUUUAAUCCAUAAGAUCCAUUUAAAAAAGAAGGACAAAAAAAGUGAAUGCUUUCUUUACAAUGAAUUUAUGGUAACUCUCAUGUACUCAUGCAUUCAUUAGCAGAGAAAACAG